rnacentral:tRNA from 1 species
GGGCGGCUAAAAAGGAUUUACUGCUUUUAGCCUUUGGAGCUGAUAAGACUGAGGUCCUUGGUUCGAGACCAAGAUGGCCCACCA